UCAGAUUGGAAUUAAAAUGAAGAGGUUAUGGAUUUCCGAAGUCCGUAUGUGUUUGCUACAAAAUUAAUUGAGUAAUCAAUUUUAUUGUGGUUUUCAUGUUAAAACAGUGCUACCAAGUAAUAGAAAAUAUUAAUACAAAAUUAUAGGAACUGGAAUGGGCUAAAAAGGAUUUAAUAUGAAUUUUCCAUGAAUUAAAUGAGUUUUGGGACUUAUUCAUGUACUAAAAAGUAUUUCUUAUACUGUUUUUGCUAAUUUCCUGGUUCCCUGGUCUGAGCACGAAUUACAGAGAAACUCGGGGUUAAACCAUAAAACUUUCCCAGACUCAGUCUAUACCAGUGGUGGAUUGCGGGUUAAAUUCUAUUUCACUCGGGGUCUCUUUAGCAAACGUUCUCGGGCGAAGGGGUAUGCACAGAUCAGAGCCGCCCGAUUAUGGCUGAACGGCCCAGAUUAAAUCGUUUCGGUACUUACGGCUGCUUCACUCGGAGCCGUUGGAUCCCUGAUCCAAGGCCACGCAUUCGCCACGACCCCGCUCCGAUCCGCCAUUGGGUUAACGAUCAACGGUCACCAUUAUAAAAUACCCGAGGUUGGAUCCCAGGCACAGGAUCACAAUCCAAGGACCCAGGACGACUCCACCACCAGAGUACACGUGCCCUAAUCCGCAACGUUCAUCAUCAGAUUAACGGUUACGGGCUACCCGACUCGAGUCGCACAGUCUAAGGACUCAAAUCAGUCUGGGCCGCACAUUACCAAUUCAACGGCCCCACAUCCUUCUUCCCCACGCCGGUGUUGGCAGCAGGUACGGUUGCUAGACCACGGCGGCGCCAUGGACAUGCCCCACCAGAGAUAAC
rnacentral:lncRNA from 7 species